GUGCUUGCUUUGACAGCACAUAUACUAAAAUUGGGAUGAUACAGAGAAGAUUAGCAUGGCCCCUGGGCAAAGAGGACAUAUUAGCCAAUACAUCUGAUAAGGGGUU